GACGAACGCUGGCGGCGUGCUUAACACAUGCAAGUCGAACGGUAAGGCUCCAGCUUGCUGGGGUACACGAGUGGCGAACGGGUGAGUAACACGUGGGUGACCUGCCCUGCACUUCGGGAUAAGCCUGGGAAACUGGGUCUAAUACCGGAUAGGACCGCACCGUGAGGGUGUGGUGGAAAGUUUUUUCGGUGUGGGAUGGGCCCGCGGCCUAUCAGCUUGUUGGUGGGGUAAUGGCCUACCAAGGCGGCGACGGGUAGCCGGCCUGAGAGGGUGGACGGCCACAUUGGGACUGAGACACGGCCCAGACUCCUACGGGAGGCAGCAGUGGGGAAUAUUGCACAAUGGGCGGAAGCCUGAUGCAGCGACGCCGCGUGGGGGAUGACGGCCUUCGGGUUGUAAACUCCUUUCACCAUCGACGAAGGGUUUCUGACGGUAGAUGGAGAAGAAGCACCGGCUAACUACGUGCCAGCAGCCGCGGUAAUACGUAGGGUGCGAGCGUUGUCCGGAAUUACUGGGCGUAAAGAGCUCGUAGGUGGUUUGUCGCGUCGUCUGUGAAAUUCCGGGGCUUAACUCCGGGCGUGCAGGCGAUACGGGCAUAACUUGAGUACUGUAGGGGAGACUGGAAUUCCUGGUGUAGCGGUGAAAUGCGCAGAUAUCAGGAGGAACACCGGUGGCGAAGGCGGGUCUCUGGGCAGUAACUGACGCUGAGGAGCGAAAGCAUGGGGAGCGAACAGGAUUAGAUACCCUGGUAGUCCAUGCCGUAAACGGUGGGCGCUAGGUGUGGGUUUCCUUCCACGGGAUCCGUGCCGUAGCUAACGCAUUAAGCGCCCCGCCUGGGGAGUACGGCCGCAAGGCUAAAACUCAAAGGAAUUGACGGGGGCCCGCACAAGCGGCGGAGCAUGUGGAUUAAUUCGAUGCAACGCGAAGAACCUUACCUGGGCUUGACAUAUACAGGAUCGCGCCAGAGAUGGUGUUUCCCUUGUGGCUUGUAUGCAGGUGGUGCAUGGUUGUCGUCAGCUCGUGUCGUGAGAUGUCGGGUUAAGUCCCGCAACGAGCGCAACCCUUGUCUUAUGUUGCCAGCACGUUGUGGUGGGGACUCGUAAGAAACUGCCGGGGUUAACUCGGAGGAAGGUGGGGAUGACGUCAAAUCAUCAUGCCCCUUAUGUCCAGGGCUUCACACAUGCUACAAUGGUCGGUACAGUGGGUUGCCAGUCCGUGAGGGCGAGCUAAUCCCGCAAAGCCGGUCUCAGUUCGGAUCGGGGUCUGCAACUCGACCCCGUGAAGUCGGAGUCGCUAGUAAUCGCAGAUCAGCAACGCUGCGGUGAAUACGUUCCCGGGCCU
rnacentral:rRNA from 1 species